AUCAGAUAAAAGACUGUCUGUCCCACAUGAAGGAGUGGGACUUUGGCAGGGAGUGUAGUAGCCUAGGUGAAAUGAAGGACACAAGGAGAUCCAUGUGAAGAGCAGCUACAAUCCAAAGAAUCCAGUUCUGUAUUCCUGACCGGUACCCAUGCUUAGUAAGAAAACACCAAAAGCUCUUGGUCUGCUGAUUUGAGGUGCUAGUCAAUGGCUGAGCUGUGUCCCCAUUCCUUGCUGCCAUCGGAAGAGGAAAGACAAGAAGAAAGGAUUUUGUUGGUACACAUGCAGUUAUAGAAAUAAUCAGAAGAUCCUGUGUAUCCUUUACCUAGAUUCCCC